rnacentral:rRNA from 1 species
UCAUGGCUCAGGACGAACGCUGGCGGCGUGCCUAAUACAUGCAAGUCGAGCGGAAUGAUGAAGAAGCUUGCUUCUUCUGAUUUUAGCGGCGGACGGGUGAGUAACACGUGGGCAACCUACCUUGUAGAUUGGGAUAACUCCGGGAAACCGGGGCUAAUACCGAAUAAACCAUUUUGCUUCAUGGCAAGAUGUUGAAAGGCGGCUUCGGCUGUCACUACUAGAUGGGCCCGCGGCGUAUUAGCUAGUUGGUAGGGUAAUGGCCUACCAAGGCGACGAUACGUAGCCGACCUGAGAGGGUGAUCGGCCACACUGGGACUGAGACACGGCCCAGACUCCUACGGGAGGCAGCAGUAGGGAAUCUUCCACAAUGGACGAAAGUCUGAUGGAGCAACGCCGCGUGAGUGAAGAAGGUUUUCGGAUCGUAAAACUCUGUUGUAAGGGAAGAACACGUACGAGAGUAACUGCUCGUACCUUGACGGUACCUUAUUAGAAAGCCACGGCUAACUACGUGCCAGCAGCCGCGGUAAUACGUAGGUGGCAAGCGUUGUCCGGAAUUAUUGGGCGUAAAGCGCGCGCAGGCGGUUCUUUAAGUCUGAUGUGAAAGCCCACGGCUCAACCGUGGAGGGUCAUUGGAAACUGGAGAACUUGAGUACAGAAGAGGAAAGCGGAAUUCCACGUGUAGCGGUGAAAUGCGUAGAGAUGUGGAGGAACACCAGUGGCGAAGGCGGCUUUCUGGUCUGUAACUGACGCUGAGGCGCGAAAGCGUGGGGAGCAAACAGGAUUAGAUACCC